rnacentral:rRNA from 1 species
CUACUCUCGUAAACGGAUAUUUUAUCUCUCUUAUUGAUGAACAACAUACCGAAAUGCGUUACUUGGUGUGAAUUCCAGAAUCCUGUGAACCUUUGAGUCUUUUUUCACAAGUUGCCCCUGAGGCCACUCACCCGAGGGCAUGCCUGCCU